rnacentral:rRNA from 1 species
UACGUAGGAUCCAAGCGUUGUCCGGAUUUAUUGGGCGUAAAGGGUGCGCAGGCGGACUUGUUAGUCAGGGGUGAAAUCUCACAGCUUAACUGUGGAACUGCCUUUGAUACUGCAAGUCUUGAAUUGGGGAGAGAGUUGUGGAAUUCCGAGUGUAGCAGUGAAAUGUGUAGAUAUUCGGAAGAACACCAGUGGCGAAGGCAGCAACUUGGCCCCAGAUUGACGCUCAGGCACGAAAGCAUGGGGAUCAAACAGG